GACGAACGCUGGCGGCGUGCUUAACACAUGCAAGUCGAACGGAAAGGCCCUUCUUUUGUGGGGUGCUCUAGUUGCGAACGGGUGAUUAACACUUGUGUAACCUGCCCUUGACUUUGGGAUAACUUCAGGAAACUGGGGCUAAUACCGGAUAGGAGCUCCUGCUGCAUGGUGGGGGUUGGAAAGUUUCGGCGGUUGGGGAUGUACUCGCGGCUUAUCAGCUUGUUGGUGGGGUAGUGUCUUACCAAGGCUUUGACGGGUAGCCGGGCUGAGAGGGUGACCGGCCACAUUGGGACUGAGAUACGGCCCAGACUCCUACGGGAGGCAGCAGUGGGGAAUAGUGCACAAUGGGAGGAAGCCUGAUGCAGCAAAGCCGCGUGGGGGAUGACGGCCUUCGGGUUGUAAACCGAUUUCGCCUGUGACGAAGAGAGAGUGACGGUAAUGGGUAAAGAAGCACCGGCUAACUACGUG
rnacentral:rRNA from 1 species